GCUGUUCCUCACCCAGGAUCACCAAGGUCUCUCCUACCCCGGGGCCUGUGCACCUGCUGUGCCUCUGCUUGGGGUGCUCUUCCCAGGGCUUGCCCACCUCCUCAGAGAGGCCUCCUGACCCCUGACACGGCCUUGCCCUUCACCUCUAUCGUCCUUUAGAACAGCCCCCACCUCCCGCACAUCAUGCAGUUGCAGGUUCAAUGGCUACUGCUUGUCCUCCAGACUCGAUAGGCCUCAUCACUCCUCAGAUGAUUCUCGAAGGAUAACACACAGGCCAGUGGGCAGCCCUAGGCCAGGGGGAUUACCAAGACAUGAAGACUUUCUUUCUGUCUCAGCAACCUUCAUGCUUGGUCAAGCAAAGGUGUUGCUUAAGUCAAACCCAGGGCAGGGGAGAGCAGUUGAAGCAAAGUGAGUCUUUGGAGGCCCUGUGGUUGUGGGGUCUGGUGUGGAGACAGUGAGAACGGAAAAGGUGGGAGAGGAGCAGUCAACCCGUGAAUGGCCCCAUUCAGACGCCUUUACCUGGAAGACGUGGCAGGUCUACUGGGGUUCAUCCCAUCUGAGCCAGGCCUGGCUUUUCUUGGCUGCAAGCUGAGAGCUGGGUCCAGGUCUGCUGAACCAAGGUUCUCCCAUCUUCCUUGAGCCAGUGACAAUCAGAGGCCUAUUUCUUUCAUGACGGAAGGCAGGAGAACAAGCAGCUCCCGGCUCACCCACCCAGCAGCUCAGCACCUGCGAAAUCCGUCUCCCGAUGCACACUUGCUAACCGCGUGGGUGUGAGCACAACGAUGGGAAACAGCGGAAGUCCCCGGAGUGCAGACUCAGGAGUGAACCUGCCUGAAGAGUGGCGUCUAACGCACACACUGUGGUCAGCUCCACCCCACUAUGGGUCCCGGGAAUAGGAGCAAGUAUGUAUUUUGCUUGCAGGGCAGGUGUUUCAUCCACAUUAUUGCAGGAACAGAUGAAUUUAAUUAAAAGAACACCACAGUGGGCACCUCUUCCAGGGAUGUCUCCCUCUAAGAACAUGACACUGAGAUGAUCAAGGUUCUAAAAGGGCGAUCAAAUUACUCUCCGAAAAUGAAACUGCUCAGACAGAAUGACAAUUAAAUUAAUAACAACCAAGACAAUGCCCAGAUUUCAUCUCCGCUCACAGCCCCUCCUGUGUGCUGUAUGAUCAGGUUCUUGGGGUGGCUCCAGAUACAGCAAACAGUCAGGAUUAAUCCACAAGAGUGAGCUGUCAGCAUGAGGUUCCCCUACAGUGGAGCUUGCCAAGGUCCGUGCCUCCCAGGGCACCCGUUCCAGGGCUAACAGAUGAAGCAUGGAAAUGCUGUGUGGAGUGAGCUAAGCAGCCGUUCUCAGGAGAAAACAGACAAAUCCUCCUGCAUCCUGGCAAACCAGCUUUGUGGCCUGUUUUAUGUCAUCUUUGCUGAGCUCCACCGGGUCACCCCUCCUGUUGGCUUUGUGAUACUGACAUUUCAGGCACUGGCACAGAUACAUUGGCCUUCCUGGCUGGGAUUUCACGGACGGAGUGAGCAGUGCUGGCUUGGAGGAGCCGUGGCGGCACAGGGCCUGUGCUCUCAGCUGAUCAACGCCUUGAUAGCCAGGAAAGGCCUGUCCUACCCCAAAGGGCCCUCGCAGCACUGUUUGAAAUUGCUCUUGCCAUCUUUGGAAUGGAUUCCUCAGUACAUUUCAGACUCGUUGUUGUGACUUUGGUUUUAAUCCAGGGACACACCGUGGCCAGUGGAGUGUCUCAACAGCAUCUAUGAUCGCUGUUUCCCAGAGACAGCAUCUCAGAUACCGAUGCUGAAAGAGAAACAGCAGCCUGUCCCCAAGUGGCAGGAAAUAGUCCAUUUUAAUGGCAAUUUCAUAAGUGGCAGAUGAUUUUUAUUGUAAUUUUCUGGUGAGCUGAUUAAGUGGAGGCAGAGUCAGUUCUGAGGCGUCAAUGUCUUUAACAAUUCGGGGAGACGGAGGCCACGCUCAGCAGGAACACUGAGUCCAUGGAAAACAGGCCCUGGGCCCGCUGAUGUGCAUAAUUCCACGUUUGCCCCUCAUGUAACCAGGAUGGUAAAUUACAGGUGUCAGAUAAUCACGCUCUGGAGUGGCUACUUGAGGAUGCGAUCGACCAAUUUAAGCUCCGUCUGACACAUGAUCAAUAGCCCGUGAUGCUGCAUGGAAUUGCAGGCACAGUGUCCAAACCUGCAGAGCAGUGGCUCCCAGCUGGGGCAACUUUGCCCCCCAGAGGACAUUUGGCAAUGUCUGGAUAUGUUUGCAAUUGUCACAACUAGGAAAGGAGGUACCCAUAGGAUACACAGGAAAGUCCUCACACAGUUGUAUCCUGCCCAGACUGUCCGUAGAGCCAGGGUGAGAUGCUCUGACAGAGCCACAGUGAACAUUGCAUUCCAUCAUCUGGGUAUCUCCAGGAAUGUAUGUAGCUGGAUGUCUGGCUUUUCAUCUGGGUUUCACGAGCCUCCUGCAGAACUGAAACCAUGUGCAAAUCAGUUCUCAUACUUGCUCUCCUGCCUCCUUCCUAUUGUAAUUUUUUCUUCCCACCUUUUUUAUUGUUACUAGAGAAAUGAUGAAGAAAAAGAAUAGGCUGGAGAGUCACUCAAAAUUUUGUUUUCCUCAAUUAAAAAGAA
rnacentral:lncRNA from 1 species